rnacentral:tRNA from 1 species
GCUCUUGUAGCUCAGUCGGUAGAGCACACCCUUGGUAAGGGUGAGGUCGGCGGUUCAAAUCCGCCCAAGAGCUCCA